rnacentral:rRNA from 1 species
UCUGGUGGCAAUGGCGGAGGGGCCACACCCGUUCCCAUCCCGAACACGGAAGUUAAGCCCUCCAGCGCCGAUGGUACUUGGGCACGAGCCCUGGGAGAGUAGGUCGCUGCCAGAA